rnacentral:rRNA from 1 species
GACGAACGCUGGCGGCGUGCCUAAUACAUGCAAGUCGAACGAGAGCGGCCGGUGCUUGCCCUGGUCAAUCUAGUGGCGAACGGGUGAGUAACACGUGGGUAACCUGCCCAUCAGAGGGGGAUAACAUCCGGAAACGGAUGCUAACACCGCAUAGGUCUUCGAACCGCAUGGUUUGUAGAGGAAAAGAGGCGCAAGCUUCUGCUGAUGGAUGGACCCGCGGUGCAUUAGCUAGUUGGUGAGGUAACGGCUCACCAAGGCCGUGAUGCAUAGCCGGCCUGAGAGGGUGAUCGGCCACACUGGGACUGAGACACGGUCCAAACUCCUACGGGAGGCAGCAGUAGGGAAUCUUCCGCAAUGGACGCAAGUCUGACGGAGCAACGCCGCGUGAGUGAAGAAGGUUUUCGGAUCGUAAAACUCUGUUGUUAGAGAAGAACAAGUGCUAGAGUAACUGUUAGCGCCUUGACGGUACCUAACCAGAAAGCCACGGCUAACUACGUG